AGGGGUAAGGUGAAUAGUGGAGGGGCCUGUUUUGCCAAUUUACAAGAGCUUUGAAAUGGGACGCAACCCCCCUGUUUUCGGCAACUGCAUUUAAGGCACGGUUGGUGCCGAUGUAGCAUCGUUUUGGACUUGAUUAAAAGGCAGAUGAAUCUUCUUUGAGUUUCGAGAAGAACCCCUUUUGAUUUGUGGAAAUCGAUAGAGAAUUGCGAGGGAAAUCGACCGAAACGUUGUCUAGGGUUCAUCCAACGGGAAGUUCAAUGAUAUUGAGUUUGUACUAAGGAAAUUAUGCAAAAGAAACGAAGAAAAACGACUAAAAAUGGAGCCAAUUUAGUCGAAAUCACUGAAGAAAAUCGAGAAAAGAGGGCUACUGGAGAUUCAGGGUCAGAACCUGAGUCAGGAAACGGAUCUGGAAACGGGGCAGGGACGACCCGCAUAUCAAUUGAAUUGGACGACCGGAGUCCCAUACUGAGUCCCAUCCGAUCCGGUGGCUAUUGGAUUGGAUUGUUCUUGGGCUAUUUGUUUUAAUUGUUGAAUUUAUGUUAUUGGGCCUUAAGUUUUUUUAUAAUGAAUUUUGCUGGACCGAACUUAAAUAUUUAA